rnacentral:snoRNA from 1 species
AUCCUUCUGAUGCUCUACCCCUUGAAUCUAAAUAAUGGUCUGAGCAGCUAAAAGGAGGAAAAGUAAAACUGAAGUGGACUUGCUAGUCUUUAGUGACAUACAUGUUCAUUUCAAAUAUAU